AAGAUGACACGCAAAUUCGUGAAGCAUUCCAUAUUUUU
rnacentral:snRNA from 1 species